rnacentral:rRNA from 1 species
AGCGAACGCUGGCGGCAGGCCUAACACAUGCAAGUCGAACGAACCCUUCGGGGUUAGUGGCGGACGGGUGAGUAACACGUGGGGACGUGCCUUUAGGUUCGGAAUAACUCAGGUAAACUUGUGCUAAUACCGAAUGUGCCCUUCGGGGGAAAGAUUUAUCGCCUUUAGAGCGGCCCGCGUCUGAUUAGCUAGUUGGCGAGGUAAUGGCUCACCAAGGCUACGAUCAGUAGCUGGUCUGAGAGGAUGACCUGCCACAUUGGGACUGAGACACGGCCCAAACUCCUACGGGAGGCAGCAGUGGGGAAUCUUGCGCAAUGGGCGAAAGCCUGACGCAGCCAUGCCGCGUGGAUGAUGAAGGUCUUAGGAUUGUAAAAUCCUUUCACCGGUGAAGAUAAUGACUGUAGCCGGAGAAGAAGCCCCGGCUAACUUCGUGCCAGCCGCCGCCGUAAAAC